GAACCAUCGGAACCCAUGAAGGGCCGCAAAUCCCAGAAACAGGCGGCGGCAGCAACCGCCUCAAAUCAUGAUAUUGGACAGAUGCUGUCAUCAACUCCACGCACCCAGGAGCCAUUGCCACGCCAGCCUGAGACAGCUCCCAGCGCGGUAGGAGAGAAAACACACACAGACGAAGCCUGAACAACACAUGGUGCAGAGAAACCUGUCACAGACAAACCUGUUACAAGGCAGGACAUCCACGACUUACUGGCACACUUCCAGGACAUGUUCUUUGCAGAAAUCAAC